UUGUGUAUAGCAAAGUGUUGUUUAAUUUGCUUUUUUGAAGUUAUAUGAGUUUAUUUCAUUAAAUUUUGUUUCUAACGAAUUCCAUACAUCAACUCCUUUAUAUGAGAGACUGUGUUUCACAUAAUUAAUAUAAUUUGUCCUUUUAUAACAUUCGUGAAGUUUUGAAGCAUUUCUCGUGUUAUGAAUAUGUUCAUGAAUUUUGUUGUUUGUCACAAAAUAAUUUUUAAAUAAAUCUGGUAAAUUAUUAAGCUGGUGGUACCGAAACAUAAAUAAGGCAGUUAAAUAGUCAAUGAUUUAUAAAGAGCAAUGCCUCUGGUAUUCCAUAAACUACCGCU